rnacentral:tRNA from 1 species
GAGAGCGUAGCUCAGUCGGUAGAGCAAAGGACUUUUAAUCCUUGGGUCGAGAGUUCAAGUCUCUCCGCUCUCA